CCCGCACAAGCGGUGGAGCAUGUGGUUUAAUUCGACGCAACGCGAAGAAACCUUACCUGGGUUUGACAUCUCCGGAAUCUCUAUGAAAGUAGAGAGUGCCCUUCGGGGGAGCCGGAAAGACAGGUGCUGCAUGGCUGUCGUCAGCUCGUGUCGUGAGAUGUUGGGUUAAGUCCCGCAACGAGCGCAACCCUAUCUUUAGUUACCAGCGAUUCGGUCGGGGACUCUAAAGAUACUGCCCCGGUUAACGGGGAGGAAGGUGGGGAUGACGUCAAGUCCUCAUGGCCUUUAUGCCCAGGGCUACACACGUGCUACAAUGGGCGGUACAAAGGGUAGCGAUCCCGCGAGGAGGAGCCAAUCCCAAAAAACCGUCCCAAGUUCGGAUUGAAGUCUGCAACUCGACUUCAUGAAGUUGGAAUCGCUAGUAAUCGCGGACCAGCAUGCCCGCGGUCGAAUACGUUCCGGGCCUU
rnacentral:rRNA from 1 species